AGCUGAUCAUUGGGUGUAAAGCGUGCGCAGGCGGUUUUGUAAGACAGAGGUGAAAUCCCCGGGCUCAACCUGGGAACUGCCUUUGUGACUGCAAGGCUGGAGUGCGGCAGAGGGGGAUGGAAUUCCGCGUGUAGCAGUGAAAUGCGUAGAUAUGCGGAGGAACACCGAUGGCGAAGGCAAUCCCCUGGGCCUGCACUGGCGCUCAUGCACGAAAGCGUGGGGAGCAAACA
rnacentral:rRNA from 1 species